CCAGUGUAUGAAGACUACAUAGGAUCCUAGAUAUAAAGGUGAAAAGGACUUUGGAAGUCAUCUAGCACAUUUUACAGGGAGAAAUGAAGGGCUAAAAUUCAUGGAUGACCUCGUUCUAAUCAUACUCUAGAAGACUGAAGAGUCUCCAAAAUGAUAUUCAUAUCACUCAGAAGAGUUCAGUCUGAGUAUUCUAAGAGGAAAAGCAAGAAAAUGCCAAUUUCCUGUUGUUCAGAGUAAACUGCAAUUGAAUGGACCGUUUUGCAGUAUCUUGUCUUCUUGGAAGACAGUGCAAUUUUUUAUAAUCAUCAGUGGUGCAUCAUCUAUG
rnacentral:lncRNA from 1 species